rnacentral:rRNA from 1 species
UGCUAUACAUGCAAGUCGAGCGAAUGGAUUAAGAGCUUGCUCUUAUGAAGUUAGCGGCGGACGGGUGAGUAACACGUGGGUAACCUGCCCAUAAGACUGGGAUAACUCCGGGAAACCGGGGCUAAUACCGGAUAACAUUUUGAACCGCAUGGUUCGAAAUUGAAAGGCGGCUUCGGCUGUCACUUAUGGAUGGACCCGCGUCGCAUUAGCUAGUUGGUGAGGUAACGGCUCACCAAGGCAACGAUGCGUAGCCGACCUGAGAGGGUGAUCGGCCACACUGGGACUGAGACACGGCCCAGACUCCUACGGGAGGCAGCAGUAGGGAAUCUUCCGCAAUGGACGAAAGUCUGACGGAGCAACGCCGCGUGAGUGAUGAAGGCUUUCGGGUCGUAAAACUCUGUUGUUAGGGAAGAACAAGUGCUAGUUGAAUAAGCUGGCACCUUGACGGUACCUAACCAGAAAGCCACGGCUAACUACGUGCCAGCAGCCGCGGUAAUACGUAGGUGGCAAGCGUUAUCCGGAAUUAUUGGGCGUAAAGCGCGCGCAGGUGGUUUCUUAAGUCUGAUGUGAAAGCCCACGGCUCAACCGUGGAGGGUCAUUGGAAACUGGGAGACUUGAGUGCAGAAGAGGAAAGUGGAAUUCCAUGUGUAGCGGUGAAAUGCGUAGAGAUAUGGAGGAACACCAGUGGCGAAGGCGACUUUCUGGUCUGUAACUGACACUGAGGCGCGAAAGCGUG